rnacentral:rRNA from 1 species
CACGCAGGAACCGAGCGUUAUCCGAAUUUACUGGGCGUAAAGCGCGCGUAGGUGGCUCGAUAAGUUGGGUGUGAAAGCUCCUGGCUCAACUGGGCGAGGCCGCUCAAUACUGUCGGGCUUGAGUACGGUAGAGGGGGGUGGAAUUCCCGGUGUAGUGGUGAAAUGCGUAGAUAUCGGGAGGAACACCAGUGGCGAAGGCGGCCUCCUGGACCGUUUCUGACACUGAGACGCGAAAGCCAGGGGAGCGAACGGG